ensembl:lncRNA
AUAUAUAUAUAUUUUUUAAAGCAAUAUGCACAUGUUUAUUGUGUGAUAUUUACAUAUCUACAGUAUGACACAGCACUACGCUGUGAUGAUGCACGCUGACACAGAUUGCACCGCUAUGGGUUAGUUAGGCCACAGUGGCAGGUUACCAUGGUGUUUAGACUCUAGACCAAAGGGGUGGGUAACCCUGCUCUUGGAGGGCUGCAGGCACUUCAUGUUUACGACUUAACCAACCUGGAAGACCAGAUGUGUUGAAUAUAGGCAAUCACUUGAACUGAUCCAUUAACUAAGUGUCACGGUGUGGUGCCGAGUCGGGACAAAAUGCUGCAGCACCUACAACACCCCAGGAAAAUGGUUCCCUACCCUCGACCAUGUCAAGUAUAGCUACAGUAUAAUAUACAUCUUUUGGCUUCAUGAAGGAUGGUAGAACAAUGUGAACAAUGCAACAUUCAGAGUACCAUGACUGAGAGACACGGGAACAGACAGCAGACAGUUCUUUUGUUGAUCGAGGACUCUCUAGUCCCGUUUAUACCUGGCGCUAGCAUACGUCCUUUUUGUCCUGAUCUUGUCCUCAUUCUAAUUGAGCACAGAGAGAUAGAGACAGAGAGAGGGACAGAGAGAGAGAGACAGAAAGAGAGACAGAGAUAGAAAGAGAAAGAGAGAGAGACAGAGAGAGGGACAGAGAGAUAGAGACAGAGAGAGGGACAGAGAGAUAGAGACAGAGACAGAGAUAGAAAGAGAAAGAGAGAGACGGAGAAAUAUGGAUGUAGUGGGUGUUCUUGGUUAGGAGAGAUAGUGUAAAGAUCAGAUCACUGAUAACCUUUUGGCUUUAUUAUGUUCUCUCUGUGUAGAGGAUAUAGGAUACAGAGACACACAGGGGAGGAAGAAGCCCUGCUAGUGUAAACCUCUUACUGUCAACAGGGAGAGUAGAUCCCUAGAUCCCGUGCAUAGAGAGACUAUUCCUAUCUCUCUGAGGGUAAGUAGAUCCCUAGAUCCCAUGCAUAGAAAGACUGUUCUUAUCUCUCUGAGGGACAGUAGAUCCCUAGAUCCCAUGCAUAGAAAUACUGUUCCCAUCUCUCUGAGAGACAGUAGAUCCCUAGAUCCCAUGCAUAGAAAUACUGUUCCUAUCUCUCUGAGGGUAAGUAGAUCCCUAGAUCCCAUGCAUAGAAAUACUGUUCCUAUCUCUCUGAGGGACAGAGGAUCCCUAGAUCCCAUGCAUAGAAAUACUGUUCCUAUCUCUCUGAGGGACAGUAGAUCCCUAGAUCCCAUGCAUAGAAAUACUGUUCCUAUCUCUCUGAGGGACAGUAGAUCCCUAGAUCCCAUGCAUAGAAAGACUGUUCCUAUCUCUCUGAGGGUAAGUAGAUCCCUAGAUCCCAUGCAUAGAAAGACUGUUCCUAUCUCUCUGAGGGUAAGUAGAUCCCUAGAUCCCAUGCAUAGAAAGACUGUUCCUAUCUCUCUGAGGGACAGUAGAUCCCUAGAUCCCAUGCAUAGAAAGACUGUUCCUAUCUCUCUGAGGGUAAGUAGAUCCCUAGAUCCCAUGCAUAGAAAUACUGUUCCUAUCUCUCUGAGGGACAGUAGAUCCCUAGAUCCCAUGCAUAGAAAGACUGUUCCUAUCUCUCUGAGGGACAGUAGAUCCCUAGAUCCCAUGCAUAGAAAGACUGUUCCUAUCUCUCUGAGGGUAAGUAGAUCCCUAGAUCCCAUGCAUAGAAAGCCUGGUUGCAACCUGAAAGGUUAUCACUGUUGUGUCUAUGGUGCCUAAAGCAUCUCCUGAUGUAUUUGAACAUCCCCAGCCCACACUGUUAUAGGAAGAGACAAUAGAUAGAACAUGAGGAAAGAGGUGGAGGAGAGACAGGCAGAGAAAGAGGUGGAGGAGAGACAGGCAGAGAAAGAGGUGGAGGAGAGACAGGCAGAGAACGAGGUGGAGGAGAGACAGGCAGAGAAAGAGGUGGAGGAGAGACAGGCAGAGAACGAGGUGGAGGAGAGACAGGCAGAGAAAGAGGAGGAGGAGAGACAGGCAGAGAAAGAGGUGGAGGAGAGACAGGCAGAGAACGAGGUGGAGGAGAGACAGGCAGAGAAAGAGGUGGAGGAGAGACAGGCAGAGAAAGAGGUGGAGGAGAGACAGGCAGAGAACGAGGUGGAGGAGAGACAGGCAGAGAAAGAGGUGGAGGAGAGACAGGCAGAGAAAGAGGAGGAGGAGAGACAGGCAGAGAAAGAGGUGGAGGAGAGACAGGCAGAGAACGAGGUGGAGGAGAGACAGGCAGAGAAAGAGGUGGAGGAGAGACAGGCAGAGAAAGAGGAGGAGGAGAGACAGGCAGAGAAUGAGGUGGAGGAGAGACAGGCAGAGAAAGAGGAGGAGGAGAGACAGGCAGAGAAAGAGGAGGAGGAGAGACAGGCAGAGAAAGAGGAGGAGGAGAGACAGGCAGAGAAAGAGGAGGAGGAGAGACAGGCAGAGAAAGAGGAGGAGGAGAGACAGGCAGAGAAAGAGGAGGAGGAGAGACAGGCAGAGAACGAGGUGGGGGAGAGACAGGCAGAGAAAGAGGAGGAGGAGAGACAGGCAGAGAAAGAAGAGGAGGAGAGACAGGCAGAGAAAGAGGAGGAGGAGAGACAGGCAGAGAACGAGGUGGGGGAGAGACAGGCAGAGAAAGAGGAGGAGGAGAGACAGGCAGAGAACGAGGUGGGGGAGAGACAGGCAGAGAAAGAGGAGGAGGAGAGACAGGCAGAGAACGAGGAGGAGGAGAGACAGGCAGAGAAAGAGGUGGGGGAGAGACAGGCAGAGAACGAGGUGGAGGAGAGACAGGCAGAGAAAGAGGUGGAGGAGAGACAGGCAGAGAAAGAGGAGGAGGAGAGACAGGCAGAGAAAGAGGUGGAGGAGAGACAGGCAGAGAAAGAGGUGGAGGAGAGACAGGCAGAGAAAGAGGAGGAGGAGAGACAGACAGAGAAAGAGGUGGAGGAGAGACAGGCAGAGAAAGAGGUGGAGGAGAGAGAUGUGCUAAUGCUGCUGCUAUCUGGUGGUGGCUAACCUGCACUGCAGGUAAAACACAAUAGAGUAGGGGUGGGUGGAUGGAUGGGGACAUUUCACAAUGAAACCCGUACACACACACCAUUAUAUUCUAUGAGUAUAAUUCUAAAAUAAACAUAUAUAAUAGAACACAUAUCUUCUUUUACACAUUUCAUCAUAUCAAGACAUAAUCCAGAUGACUUUACACAUCAACAAAAAAAAAACAUUAGUAAUGCUGGAAUAUGAGCUGCCUAAUAAAAGCCUGAUAAUGCCAUUGGGGUGGGAAACCGUUCAGAUCAGCACAGAGGAUAACGCUUUAAAGUCUCUCACUCCAAUGAUUCCUUGUUACAGUCCAAACCCUACUUUCCCUUGAGACGUACAGUGUAGUAAAAAAACAAACAAAAAAAAGAAGCAUUUCCCAGCAUUCCAAGGACCAGAGUCACAUCAUAAUGGUAAUGCAUUUUGUGUCACAAUGACCAGCAUCAACACACAGAAGAACCACAGGAAGACAGCAGGAGUGCACGCAGGAGUGCACGCAGGAGUGCACGCAGGAGUGCACGCAGGAGUGCACGCAGGAGUGCACGCAGGAGUGCACGCAGGAGUGCACGCAGGAGUGCACGCAGGAGUGCUCACCACAGCAAAACGUUAUGCAGCUGAAGAAAGCGAAAGGUCGUCCCAUCCUGUUUCAGUUCAGAUUGUUUUUCCGUUUAGUGCCUAAUGAAUAUGACCCACGGGACAGGGGAUACCUCUUCAUUAUAGUUAUAUACCCUGAUAAUUUAAUAUGUUUUGUUCCCCAAUAUAAUAUUUAGAAUAAUAUAUACAUCACGUAUGUACUUUGUAAUCAUGUCAUAUUAUAUUAUGGAGCAUCUAUGGAUAUGGCUGUGCCGUGUGUGUGUGUGUGUGUGUGUGUGUGUGUGUGUGUGUGUGUGUGUGUGUGUGUGUGUGUGUGUGUGUGUGU